UACGUAGGGUGCGAGCGUUAAUCGGAAUUACUGGGCGUAAAGCGUGCGCAGGCGGUUCGCCAAGUCAGGUGUGAAAUCCCCGGGCUUAACCUGGGAAUUGCGCUUGAAACUAGCGGGCUUGAGUGUGGCAGAGGGGGGUGGAAUUCCACGUGUAGCAGUGAAAUGCGUAGAGAUGUGGAGGAACACCGAUGGCGAAGGCAGCCCCCUGGGUCAACACUGACGCUCAUGCACGAAAGCGCGGGGAGCAAACAGG
rnacentral:rRNA from 1 species